AUGGGGCUGCAUGUAGGGGGUUCAGAAGGCCCGAGGGGUGUUUGGGGACACGGUGGGGACCCUGGCCUCACCUCUCACCAGACUCCUCUUCCCACAGGAGCUGCCAGUGGGGAGCACAGAGCUCAGGCCUGGCCCAGCUGGCUCAGGGUACAGAUCCACUGUUACUUCCUGGCUGCAACCUUGACAGGUCCUGGGCAGGGUCUUCACAAAGGCCACCAGGAUGUCAUAUUUUGGAGAACAUUUUUGGGUAAGACCUAUUCUUAUUUUGGUGGGGGCUCUGGUUAGAGACUUUUAUGGAGAUGGGGAGACAGUAUCUUGUGCACAAAGCAUUGGGCAGGUAGAGGGCCUGCAGAUCAUAGAAGUUAAAGUUGGAAGAGAGGCUGGGUUUGAAUCCACACCUCAGCCCUCACAGGCUUUGUACCUUGCAAGUGAUUCACAGAUUAACCA
rnacentral:lncRNA from 1 species